GUUUCGAAUCAUUCACAAUGGGCGAAAGCCUGAUGGUGCGACGCCGCGUGGGGGACGAAGGUCUUCGGAUUGUAAACCCCUGUCACCGGGGACAAAACGUCGUCUGUUAACAGCAGCCGACCUGAUUUAACCCGGAGAGGAAGCAGUGGCUAACUCUGUGCCAGCAGCCGCGGUAAUACAGAGACUGCAAGCGUUGUUCGGAUUCACUGGGCGUAAAGGGUGCGCAGGCGGCCGGGUGUGUCGGGUGUGAAAGCUCGAGGCUUAACCUCGAAAUUGCGCCCGAAACUAUCCGGCUAGAGUACUGGAGAGGGAAGCGGAAUUCACGGUGUAGCAGUGAAAUGCGUAGAUAUCGUGAGGAACACCAAUGGCGAAGGCAGCUUCCUGGACAGUUACUGACGCUCAGGCACGAAAGCGUGGGGAGCAAAAGGG
rnacentral:rRNA from 1 species